rnacentral:rRNA from 1 species
UACGGAGGGGGCAAGCGUUUUUCGGAAUUACUGGGUGUAAAGCGCGCGUAGGCGGACCUGCAAGUCGGGGGUGAAAUCCCGAGGCUCAACCUCGGAACUGCCUUAGAUACUGCGGGACUCGAGUCCGGGAGAGGUGAGUGGAAUUCCUAGUGUAGAGGUGAAAUUCUUAGAUAUUAGGAAGAACACCAGUGGCGAAGGCUGCUUACUGUCACGAUACUGACGCUGAGGAGCGAAAGCGUGGGGAGCAAACAAG